ACCAUGGAAGUAAUAUUUAAAAGGAAUAACAUCGAGUAAUUAGCAUGUAUUAACGGCCUGUAGAGCCCUGUACUAAAGUCAUAUGAUUUUAUCCAAUUAUAGUCUCAGCGGUAAGACCCCUUUGGUUACUAUCUGUGAUACCGCGGUUGUAAAAUGGCAUCUGCAAUUUCUUAUCAGUCACGUGAUUUUAUCGAGUCCGGUAAUUUUAAAGUACCUGUGUGAAAUCCGAGGUUUAUUAAUAAGAAGGUGGCGUUGUAUCAUAUAAAACCUCUGCCUUCAGAUGAAGUCGUAUGAUGUAAAAAAACUUGAAAAACGGACGAGAAUUGUUCAAAAUACAGCAGUUUAACAUGGAAAAUUGUAUUUAAUUUAGCAUAUUUUUGCUUUUUACCGUUUGUUUUAAACUGUUCUAAAAGUAUUUUCCGGUUAAAAGCGGAUCCCGAGUUAAACAGAUAAAUACCGAUGAAUCGAUCAGGUUUCACAUGAUGUUUAACAAAAUAAUGUAGGCAAAUGUAGGCAUAGAUUUUUUUACUGUUGAAAUGUGCAAAGUUAAUCGAGAUUGAAUAAAAGAAUAUUUACUUUCAAGUAUUCUAAAUUUAUGUAUAUGUCAUAAAUGUCAUUGAUUGCAUUAUUGAAACUGGACAACUAAAAUGGGGAUAAUAUUUUCGUAAAUAUAUAUUAUUGUGGAAUGCUUGUAUUAAUAUAAUAAGCUAUACAGCAAAAAUUAUAACAAACCGACGAAAUGGGCUUGAAUCUAUCUGUCUUACGGUAAAUUCAUUUUUACACAAAUUAGUUUAUGUAUCAAGAACUUAAAUUGAAGGAUAGAACCGUUUAGAAUUGUGAAUAUUUUAAUUGACUAUAAAUACACGAAGGAUUUAGAUUUUUCGUAUUUAAUAAAGGGGGUCCAAACGUAUUUUUUUUACAAUCAUCUUCUUAACUUACGGAAAUGUUUUUUUAACUGUCUGUAAAUAUUAAAAUUGAAAUGACACAAUCUUGUUCUCCAAUUUCGUAUGUGAUAGCUGUCGGUUUAAACUAUUAUGAUCAAACUAACCAAAAAUAGGGAAAAAUUGGACUAAAAUAAAAAUUGAACGAAUGACUCUUUUCGGCAGCGUACAUCAACGGAAUGUAACGAAUGGACUAUUCGGGUUACUUCGCACGUAUAAACGACAAAAACUUGUCUGUUCGUAGUUCUCCGUGAACACGAAAAUGACCGAUAAGUGUCAGUGAUUUGAUCGAUCACAUGCAGAGAAUCAACUUCCAUGCCAGAUAUUGAACCAAUUAACAAGUUAUUGAAAGAUGGGCGGUAACGCAGAUGAAACCUUUGAAGUGACGAC
rnacentral:lncRNA from 1 species